GACGAACGCUGGCGGCGUGCUUAACACAUGCAAGUCGAACGAUGAAGCCCAGCUUGCUGGGUGGAUUAGUGGCGAACGGGUGAGUAACACGUGAGUAACCUGCCCUUGACUCUGGGAUAAGCGCUGGAAACGGCGUCUAAUACCGGAUACGACCUGCCCCGGCAUCGGGUGCGGGUGGAAAGUUUUUCGGUCAAGGAUGGACUCGCGGCCUAUCAGCUAGUUGGUGAGAUAAUGGCUCACCAAGGCGACGACGGGUAGCCGGCCUGAGAGGGUGACCGGCCACACUGGGACUGAGACACGGCCCAGACGCCUACGGGAGGCAGCAGGGGGGAAUAUUGCACAAUGGGCGAAAGCCUGAUGCAGCAACGCCGCGUGGGGGAUGACGGCCUUCGGGUUGUAAACCUCUUUUAGUAGGGAAGAAGGGCUUCGGCUUGACGGUACCUGCAGAAAAAGCACCGGCUAACUACGUGCCAGCCGCCGCAGUAA
rnacentral:rRNA from 1 species